GGGGGGGGGGGGGGGGGGGGGGGGGGCGUGGGGGGCGGGGGGGGGGGGCCGGGUGGGGGGGGGUGCUGGGGUGGCGAACGGGUGCGUGAGACGUGGGUGACCUGCCCUGGGCGUUGGGGUACAUUCAGGAAACCGGGGCUCAUACCGGGUAGGAGCUCCUGCGGCCGGGGGGGGGUUGGGAAGUUUCGGCGGUUGGGGAUGGACUCGCUGCUUAUCAGCUUGUGGGUGGGGUAGUGGCUUACCAAGGCUUUGACGGGUAGCCGGCCUGAGAGGGUGACCGGCCACAUUGGGACUGAGAUACGGCCCAGACUCCUACGGGAGGCAGCAGUGGGGAAUAUUGCACAAUGGGCGGAAGCCUGAUGCAGCAACGCCGCGUGCGGGAUGACGGCCUUCGGGUUGUAAACCGCUUUCGCCUGUGACGAAGCGUGAGUGACGGUAAUGGGUAAAGAAGCACCGGCUAACUACGUG
rnacentral:rRNA from 1 species